AAUAUAUUACCUACGUCUCAAAUUACUUGUCUUAGAUUUGUCUAGAUACGGAUGUAUCUAAUGCUAAAAUGUGUCUAGAUACAUCCAUAUCUAGAGAAAUCUAAGACAAGUAAUUCGGGGAGGAGGGAGUGUCAG
rfam:Triticum aestivum genome assembly, contig: Triticum_aestivum_CS42_TGACv1_scaffold_499717_6BL